rnacentral:rRNA from 1 species
GAUGAACGCUGGCGGUAUGCUUAACACAUGCAAGUCGAACGGUUUCUUAGGAGAUAGUGGCGGACGGGUGAGUAACGCGUGAGAAUCUGGCUCUAGGUCUGGGACAACCACUGGAAACGGUGGCUAAUACCGGGUGUGCCGAAAGGUGAAAGGUUAACUGCCUGGAGAUGAGCUCGCGUCUGAUUAGCUAGUUGGUAGGGUAAAAGCUUACCAAGGCGACGAUCAGUAGCUGGUCUGAGAGGACGAUCAGCCACACUGGGACUGAGACAC